rnacentral:rRNA from 1 species
AUAUCAAUAAGCGGAGGAAAAGAAACUAACAAGGAUUCCCCUAGUAACUGCGAGUGAAGCGGGAAAAGCUCAAAUUUAAAAUCUGGCAGUCUUUGGCUGUCCGAGUUGUAAUCUAUAGAAGUGUUAUCCGCGCUGGACCAUGUACAAGUCUCCUGGAAUGGAGCGUCAUAGAGGGUGAGAAUCCCGUCUUUGACAUGGACUACCAGGGCUUUUGUGAUGCGCUCUCAAAGAGUCGAGUUGUUUGGGAAUGCAGCUCAAAAUGGGUGGUAAAUUCCAUCUAAAGCUAAAUAUUGGCGAGAGACCGAUAGCGAACAAGUACCGUGAGGGAAAGAUGAAAAGAACUUUGGAAAGAGAGUUAAACAGUACGUGAAAUUGCUGAAAGGGAAACGCUUGAAGUCAGUCGCGUUGUCCAGGGAUCAACCUUGCUUUUGCUUGGUGCACUUUCUGGUUGACGGGUCAGCAUCAAUUUUGACUGUUGGAAAAAGAUAAGGGGAAUGUGGCAUCCUUGGAUGUGUUAUAGCCCUUUGUUGUAUACAAUGGUUGGGAUUGAGGAACUCAGCACGCCGCAAGGCCGGGUUUUUAUUUAAACCACGUUAACGUGCUUAGGAUGCUGGCAUAAUGGCUUUAAUCGA